UACGAAGGGGGCUAGCGUUGCUCGGAAUUACUGGGCGUAAAGGGCGCGUAGGCGGAUACUUAAGUUAGAGGUGAAAGCCCAGGGCUCAACCCUGGAACAGCCUUUAAUACUGGGUAUCUUGAGUUCGGGAGAGGUGAGUGGAACUCCUAGUGUAGAGGUGGAAUUCGUAGAUAUUAGGAAGAACACCAGUGGCGAAGGCGGCUCACUGGUCCGGUACUGACGCUGAGGUGCGAAAGCGUGGGGAGCAAACAGG
rnacentral:rRNA from 1 species